GCAGCAGUGUGGCAUAGUGGUUAAGGAGCAGGACUCGUAACCAAAAGGUUGCAGGUUCGAUUCCUGUCUGCCUUG
rnacentral:tRNA from 1 species